UACCUGGUUGAUCCUGCCAGUAGUCAUAUGCUUGUCUCAAAGAUUAAGCCAUGCAUGUCUAAGUAUAAGCGACUAUACUGUGAAACUGCGAAUGGCUCAUUAAAUCAGUUAUGGUUUAUUUGAUGGUACCUACUACUUGGAUAACCGUAGUAAUUCUAGAGCUAAUACAUGCAGGAAGACCCGACUUCGGAAGGGUUGUAUUUAUUAGAUAAGAAACCAAUCCAGCUUGCUGGUUGCGUGCCGAGUCACAAUAACUGCUCGAAUCGCAUGACUUUACGUCGGCGAUGGUUCAUUCAAAUUUCUGCCCUAUCAGCUUUCGAUGGUAGGAUCGAGGCCUACCAUGGCGUUUACGGGUAACGGAGAAUUAGGGUUCGAUUCCGGAGAGGGAGCCUGAGAAAUGGCUACCACAUCCAAGGAAGGCAGCAGGCGCGUAAAUUGCCCGAAUCCUGACACAGGGAGGUAGUGACAAGAAAUAACGAUACAGGGCUACAUCUAGUCUUGUAAUUGGAAUGAGUACAAUUUACAUCUCUUAACGAUGAUCAAUUGGAGGGCAAGUCUGGUGCCAGCAGCCGCGGUAAUUCCAGCUCCAAUAGC
rnacentral:rRNA from 1 species